rnacentral:rRNA from 1 species
AUUGAACGCUGGCGGCAUGCCUUACACAUGCAAGUCGAACGGCAGCAUGAUCUAGCUUGCUAGAUUGAUGGCGAGUGGCGAACGGGUGAGUAAUACAUCGGAACGUGCCCUGUAGUGGGGGAUAACUAGUCGAAAGAUUAGCUAAUACCGCAUACGACCUGAGGGUGAAAGUGGGGGACCGCAAGGCCUCAUGCUUUAGGAGCGGCCGAUGUCUGAUUAGCUAGUUGGUGAGGUAAAGGCUCACCAAGGCGACGAUCAGUAGCUGGUCUGAGAGGACGAUCAGCCACACUGGGACUGAGACACGGCCCAGACUCCUACGGGAGGCAGCAGUGGGGAAUUUUGGACAAUGGGCGAAAGCCUGAUCCAGCAAUGCCGCGUGUGUGAAGAAGGCCUUCGGGUUGUAAAGCACUUUUGUCCGGAAAGAAAUGGCUCUGGUUAAUACCUGGGGUCGAUGACGGUACCGGAAGAAUAAGGACCGGCUAACUACGUG